rnacentral:rRNA from 1 species
CCUACGGGUGGCAGCAGUGAGGAAUAUUGGUCAAUGGACGAGAGUCUGAACCAGCCAAGUAGCGUGAAGGAUGACUGCCCUAUGGGUUGUAAACCUCUUUUAUAUGGGAAUAAAACAGGGUAUGCAUACCCUCUUGUAUGUACCAUAUGAAUAAGGAUCGGCUAACUCCGUGCCAGCAGCCGCGGUAAUACGGAGGAUCCGAGCGUUAUCCGGAAUUAUGGGGCGUAAAGGGUGCGUAGAUGGCAUAGUAAGUCUAUGGUAAAAAUGGUGGGCUAAACCCAGUAGGGCAAAAGAUACUGGAAAGCUAGAGUAUGACAGAGGCAGGUGGAACUACUGGUGUAGCGGUAAAAUGCGUAAAGAUAUGUAAGAACACCAGUGGCGAAGGCGGCUUGCUGGGUCGAUACUGACAUUGAGGCACGAAAGCGUGGGGAGCAAACAGGAUUAGAUACCCGGGUAGUC